rnacentral:lncRNA from 1 species
AUGCCCAAGAGGAAGGUUAACACGGAUGGAGGCGGAACCCAAGCGCCGCUCCGCGAGGCUAUCGGUCAAGCCCGCCCCUCCCAAGCCAAAAAAAGCCACGGGAAAGGAUAAAUAUCAAACGAAAAAGUGCAGAUAAAAGGGAAGAGGGGAGCAAAGGGCAAACAACAGGCUGAAGCUGCUGACCAGCAAACCACAGAUCUGCCUGCAGAAAAUGGAGAGACAGAAAACCAGAGUCCAACCUCUGAUGAAGAGAAAGGACCCAAGUCCGAC